GGGUAGGUGGUAGAGUGGUCUAUUACAACAGACUGUAAAUCUGUCGGCUUCGGCCUUCGGGGGUUCGAAUCCCUCCCUGCCCACAA
rnacentral:tRNA from 7 species